rnacentral:snoRNA from 1 species
AAUCCAUGAUUUGGGCACUUUCUCUGGAUAGAUUUGAAUCUAUCCCAAGAUUUGCAAAGAUUUUCCCCAACAUGUUGAAUAAAUGUAGAUAUUGUUGUUUUCAGAUC